AAGAUAAAUCUUGUAAAUUUAAUCAACAACUUACUUAGGAACAUAUUGUAGAAGAUAAAGACUCACCUUGCCCUCCAAAACACAUACGUGCUCCCCUCUUUACUUCAUUCUUCCCCUGGCUUGUCCCAUUUCAUACCACAGGAAAAAUAUUUCAAGUACAGAUAACAGAGCCAGAUUCAAGGUCUGGCUAACAGAGUUUGGGCAAACUCCAAGCAGAGUUGUUACCCUGAAUUUGACAGCGCUUUUAGGGGACAACUGGAGCUUCUGGAGGAGGAGCAAAGAGGUGGGAAGAGUACUGAAAAUGAAUGUGAUUCUCAAUGGAAGAGUUAGCUCUGGUUAGCCAAUGCUGUGAGACAGGGCGUUGAGACUUCCUGCAAAGCUUAUGGACUCCAAGCCCUGCAUUGCCCCUUCUUCCACACUGAUUCACCUGAUUUCCAAGUAUGCGUUGAUUCAGAGACUCCCUGGUCUCACGUUCAUUUCAUCAGCAUCUGGCAGGUAAUCACAGGUGAGAAGUCUGCCCCCUUUGUGGGCCUUUCCCAUGCUUUUUAUGGCUUCCAACUCAGUCUUGUUGC
rnacentral:lncRNA from 1 species